GAAGUGACGCUGGCGGCGGGAGGCUGUGUGUCCCGAGGCGCGAGUGUGUGGGGAGCGAGCUCAGAAGCCGAGAGCGGCUGACGAGGCGCUGCCAGCCGACUGCCAGGGCGGCCGACUCGACGCCCCGGAACGGCUUCCGGCGGAAAGGACUCUCCGUUACGCCGGGAUCCGAUCCUACCGGAAGAGUUUUACCCGUUCUGGCUUGCUGGCUGUGGUGCUGAGGAAAAACUAUGAUUGGAUGGAGUGUGCUUCUUUUUUUCUAGAAGAUUCCAUGAAGCUUCCCAGCAACUCUUUCAUUUCCUCCUCGUUACUGUCUGGAACAUCCAGUUUUCUAUUAAAUACUUGGACUUUAUCCCGUGAGAUGUAUCUACUUAUCAAGACAAGUUCUGCAGGAGAAAUAUCUAAAUCAACCUCCAAUAUUAGUGGGACCAGAAAGUCUGAUGGAACGGAGGGAAAGUUGUAAACCUGAAGGCUCUACCGACUGGGAUGUGCUCCUCCACAGUUUCCUACCACCCAGAGCCGAGUACACCUUAACACAAGAAUGGAAACUGAACCAACAGUGGGUCAGGAAGUCCAGAUUUAGUGUACAUUCAUAAAUAUUUGUCACUGUUUGUAGAAAAAUAAAAAUAUGACCGAUUCUAAGUUAA